AUUAGUCCCAGUGAAACAGCCCCAGCAGAGCUGCUGGCACAACACAUGGCGCAUGGAAAAUGGUCAGGAGCCUUUGCUGCCACAUGCUUUCCUAGCAGGAAGGCUCUGUGGAAAAAGCACAGCUUGUAAGAAGCUUUAAAACUCUUUGCCUGUGGACUUCCCAAUUUCUCAUGGGCUUUACUUCCCAGUGACAGCAGGGUGGAAGAGCUGUGCAUCAGUGGGUGGUGACAGAAAAAUCCUUCCUGAGGAGCGUGGAUCCCAAACUGAGACUGUGGGUGGAUUAAGAGACUGAGACAGGUCUUUCGCUACUUUCAAAACUGAAUGAUAAAGAAUUAGCCCAUCUGGCAACUGAGGCCUGAAAGUGCUGACAAAGACACCACGUAAUCACAUGUUGCUGUUUAUCUCUUUCUCUAUUUUAAGAUGCAGAAUAAAUUCUGAUGCCAAAUCAUGGCCAUAA